rnacentral:rRNA from 1 species
UACGUAGGUGGCAAGCGUUGUCCGGAUUUACUGGGCGUAAAGAGCGCGCAGGCGGUCGUUCAAGUCGCGUGUGAAAGCCCCCCGGCUCAACUGGGGAGGGUCACGCGAUACUGAUCGACUCGAAGGCAGGAGAGGGUAGUGGAAUUCCCGGUGUAGUGGUGAAAUGCGUAGAUAUCGGGGAGGAACACCAGUGGCGAAGGCGACUACCUGGCCUGUUUCUUGACGCUGAGGCGCGAAAGCUAGGGGAGCAAACGGG